UUCUGCUCCAUGGUUUUGCUAAAUAGCCGCAGUACCCUGACUGUGCAAAGGUAGCAUAAUCAGUUGGCUCCUAAUUAGAGUCUGGAAUGAACGAAUAUAUGGGUAGUAACUGUCUUAAUACAUUGUUGUGAAAUUUGUAAGUAAGUGCAAAUACUUACUUAACUAAAAAAGACGAGAAGACCCUAGAAGCUUGGAGAUGGUUUUGUUGGGGCGACAGAAUUGCACUUAACCAAUUUUAAUGUAACAUGAAGUUUUGCUGUAAGAAUAAGCUACUCUAGGGAUAACAGCAUAAUUUUUACAGUUUGUGACCUCGAUGUUGGACUAGGUAUGUCACUCUUUAGAAGAAAGUGGCAUCUGCUCUGUUCGAGCAAGAAUACCUACGUGAUCUGAGUUCAGACCGGA
rnacentral:rRNA from 1 species